AUUGAACGCUGGCGGCAGGCCUAACACAUGCAAGUCGAGCGGAUGAAGGGAGCUUGCUCCUGGAUUCAGCGGCGGACGGGUGAGUAAUGCCUAGGAAUCUGCCUGGUAGUGGGGGAUAACGUCCGGAAACGGGCGCUAAUACCGCAUACAUCCUGAGGGAGAAAGUGGGGGAUCUUCGGACCUCACGCUAUCAGAUGAGCCUAGGUCGGAUUAGCUAGUUGGUGGGGUAAAGGCCUACCAAGGCGACGAUCCGUAACUGGUCUGAGAGGAUGAUCAGUCACACUGGAACUGAGACACGGUCCAGACUCCUACGGGAGGCAGCAGUGGGGAAUAUUGGACAAUGGGCGAAAGCCUGAUCCAGCCAUGCCGCGUGUGUGAAGAAGGUCUUCGGAUUGUAAAGCACUUUAAGUUGGGAGGAAGGGCAGUAAGUUAAUACCUUGCUGUUUUGACGUUACCAACAGAAUAAGCACCGGUUAACUUCGUG
rnacentral:rRNA from 1 species